rnacentral:rRNA from 1 species
UUCCAGACUCCUACGGGAGGCAGCAGUGGGGAAUAUUGCACAAUGGGGGAAACCCUGAUGCAGCGAUGCCGCGUGGAGGAAGAAGGUUUUCGGAUUGUAAACUCCUUUUAUCAGGGACGAUAAUGACGGUACCUGAAGAAAAAGCUCCGGCUAACUACGUGCCAGCAGCCGCGGUAAUACGUAGGGAGCGAGCGUUGUCCGGAAUUACUGGGUGUAAAGGGAGCGUAGGCGGGACGGCAAGUCAGAUGUGAAAACUGAGGGCUCAACUUUCAGACUGCAUUUGAAACUGCUGUUCUUGAGUGAAGUAGAGGUAAGCGGAAUUCCUAGUGUAGCGGUGAAAUGCGUAGAUAUUAGGAGGAACACCAGUGGCGAAGGCGGCUUGCUGGACGAUCACUGACGCUGAGGCUCGAAAGCGUGGGGAGCAAACAGGAUUAGAUACCCUCGUAA